AGGGAGAGAAGAAGGAGGGAGAGAGGAGGGAGGGGAGGGGGAGGAAGGGGAGAGAGAGAGAGAGAGAGAGAGAGAGAGAGAGAGAGAGAGAUCAACCCCUGUCUAUUCCACCCUGAGGAUCUUUGUGACUAUAGUUUGUAUUUAUAUGAACAGUGCCAGUGCUCAGUGCUAUGCCCCUUUGCAUUCAGUCCUCUGAGUGGCCCUAGGAGGUGGUGACUACCUUUGGGUCCACAACACUGAAAGGAGUUAGAGCAUUACCCUGGUCAGCCCAGGUGCUCCAGGUUAGCCCAGGUGCCCCAGGGACAGUAGGCUGACUCUCGGUGGGGCUGGAGUUUAGAACUUCUGGUAUCUGACCCCAGAGCCCAUGGUGAAGACCCCAUAUCCAUUCACACAGUAGGUAUGAGAGAUGAGACAUUUCCUCCCGAGGUACAGCAGAUGCUCCAAGGAGAGAAUGUGGAGAAGAUGGAGGAAACAGAACAGUCUAGGAGGGAGGGCCCACAAUCUAGGAGCAUAAUGUUUCUCUGAGGGAGUGCGGGGGGGGGGGGGGAGUGGAGGGGACGACAACUGAAUUCUCUAGAAACCAUUGUACAUCAAAGAAAAGCAGGUGCUGAGCUCUCCUGAGACCUCAGCUGAGGGGCCAGGAAGUCACAGUCUGCUUGUUGGUGUGUCUGUGGGCCUGUGUGGGGCCCAGGCUUUGUUACAUGGUGGGGUUCCUAUCUGCUCAGCAGUAGAUCCAGCCUAGAAAAGGCGUGGUUUGCAGAGGUCCCACGGGGGGGCUCUAGUGCACUAGGGUUGAACCACUCACUUCCUCAGUGGCUCACAGCCAGACAGAGCCAAAACAGAUGGGCCUGGUUCAAACCAGUUCCUGUCAGCCCCUGGUCACUCCCUGGGUCCUGCACCUACUCUGGCUUGUGUCUGGUGUCAGUUUUGAUUGGUGGACAUCUGUUCCUCUCUAUGAGGAGGGCCUCCUCGGGGGUGGGCAUUGAUAUAACUGCAAGUGGUAAGAGGGCUUGAAGUGGGGGAAGCUUGGGGGAAUUCCCUGAGAGAGGAGCAGUGAUCUGAUUUGGGAUCAAGCCCUCUGUCUUCUGUUUCUGAAUCUGGCAGGCUGUGGUGGGGAGGCAUACCAAAGGGAGGAGCCACCAUCUUUUGGUGUGUUUCUAAGGAGAAAAUUGGGUUUCUAUGGUACUUUCUAGAGCUGAGGUCUAAACAAGACCCAAGGUCUGAAAGUCUACAGACGGGUGAGGAGAAACCUUGCCAGAGCCUCACACACAAAAGGCAAAGCAAAGAAAGGGCUUUCUGUUAGACAGUGAGAUCCCAGGUCUGCAGCCUGCGUGAAGGUACAUGUCCAAGGGACAUGUCAUAUCUGUAGCCAUUCCUAUGCUGGGCUUGAAUUGUAUGGUGGGUCUGUAAAGUACUUUCUCUACCUGGAUGUGUCCUGGAUCCCUCAUCUGACCAGAUGCUGCCUUCAUCCCAUCCAUCCAUCCAUCCAUCCAUCCAUCCAUCCAUCCAUUUACCCAUCUUAUCCAUACAGAUACGUAUAAGUCAAUUAUGCACACACACACACACACAGAGAGAGAGAGAGAGAGAGAGAGAGAGAGAGAGAGGGAGAGAGAGAGAGAGAGAGAGAGAGAGAGAGAGAGAGGAUAUAGCUUACAGGAGGCCAGAUGUGUUCCCGUGCAGUGCUUCAGAGAUUUCAGCCCACAGUUGCUUGGUCCCAUCACUGUGGAUUUGUGGUGAGGUGAAGUAUCAUGGUGGAAACAGUGAAGCAGCUCAGCUUACCUCGUGGCAGGCAGGAUGCACAGAGAGACAACACACACCCUUCUGAGGCUCCUCGAGAUCAGCUUCUGUCCAUUAGGUCCUACCCCACAAAGCUUCCACUCCUCCUAAGAGAGCCACAAAACCUUCAGCAGAGAAACCUUUUGAGUUUGCUACAUAGUAAAAACACCAACUGUCAUCCAUCCACCUGCACAGAAUGUCUGGUUUUGAGUGAGACUUUGGAAAACAGAGAUAAAAUAAGAUGUAGCUGCUCUCCUUAGAACCUGAAAGGAAGGCAGAAGGCAGAGCACCUGGCUUCAGUGGAGAUGCGGGCAAAGCAGAUGGCUACAUGGUCAGCCUGGUGGAGAAGCUGGAGGUGAGUCCUGCCGUGAGGGCUCAGGAGUCUGCACAGAAGAGCUGGGCACACGGGCAUGAUUUGAACAGGGUCUCCAAGGGAGAAUGUAAAGGGGAGAAUUGUUCUGAGCAGGGCAUCUGUAUGUGCAAAGGCACUGAGCCACCACCGCUGUGGGUGUGGCACAUCUAGAACAUCUGGAGGGGAGAUCCCGCCAGUGUGCAUGAGGAAGAAAGGAAGCGACUGAGUUACAAGGUGGUACCCAAGAGAGGCAGCCUUCCACUGUGUACUGUGGGAUGAAGACAUUCCCUGACAGCCAGUGAGUGUCCAUAAGUGUCUGCCUCAUGGACCAUGCAUCCUGGGCCCUGCCGGGCUAUCCCUCUCAGCCACCCACCUGGUACUGCCCUCCUUCUCUGCCUUCUUGACCAGGUCAUGCGAUAUUGAUAAUGAGGAAGAGAGAAGGGGGUGGUUUCUGGGAGCGACCUAUGAGAACUGAGCCUAGUGGGCAGUGGCCUGGGCCUGGGGAUAUGGCAACUUCCUGAGCAGACUUGGCUUGCCCAGAAAGGGAUGGACCUGACUCAGCUCCGUUCUCACAGCCUCACCCCAGACAGGAACAAGCGCUGUGCUGUCUGUCACCUUUUAUUACAAAACCUUCUGAAAUUCUCCAAAUCGUCUCGCCGGUUAUCGUGUUCAACCACAGUGUGCUUGCAGGAGCCUCGAGCUGGAACCACAAGGCAGCCACAGUGCGUCGGGGACUUCUGUUCUGUGCCCAGGAGGGCCCCCCUCCUUUCUCCUCCCCACUAGGGUCUCACACUGUGUCCCAGACUGGUCUGAAACUAUCUAUGUGUAGCCCAGGCAGAAGUGGCAUACGCAGCAAUUCUCCUGUCUCAGUGUCCUGGCUGCUGAGCUUGCAGGCUGACAGUUUGAUGCAGGAUCUCCCAGUGACCAAUCAGGCUAGACUGACCGGCAAGCAAGCUCUCUGGUGCCUGGAUUAUGUGCCUGGAUUAUGAACGCUCAUUACCACACCUCGCUUUGGUUUCAUGAAGGUUCUGGGGUCACACUCACCCCCACUGCACAGCCACCAUCAGCUGUGUCCUCUGGACAUUCUGACAGGUUGUUAGAACUGUUUCUGAGAAAAUAUGAUUCCCCACCCCAGCUUCAGCAUGGAUCCGGGCACCCCUGACAUUCAGUGGCACUCACUUCUGCUAAUAGGGAUCUUAGAGAUGAUCUUGGAGACGGAAGGCAUCAGUCCAAAAUGGCCACACAGCAAAUACAAACGGUGAGCCAGACAACUUGUCUCGGUGACACCUGAAUCAAGGCAGGGACCUUGUGUCACAAAGGGAGCAGCAGCCAUAAAUAUCCACAGUGGUGUGAAAUACCAGAAUGCUCUCCACAGCCCAUGAAAUGGACAUAAAUGUUUACUUCACACUAUAAUUAUGAAGAGGGGCCAUGGAUCGCCAUAAAACCCUAAAGAUUGAUGCUAAACCAACCACCUCCUUAGUAUCAUAAAUUCUGCCUGCGGUUAUAUGCAGUAUUUAAUAAACAUUAAUGAAAAUUUUGUUUAUAACACAUUUUUUUUUAAA
rnacentral:lncRNA from 1 species